UAAUAAAAUAAAUUUUGAGAAAAUAAUAAAAACAAAAAAAGAAAUAUUUAAAAGUUCAACAACAACAGUAAAGAUUGAUAUGAAAUACCAUUAAUAUUUGGUAACAGAGGAUUAAGCUUAACAAACGAUUUCUAGUUAAAACGUUUAAGGAAAAGAUUUUAAAACUAAACGUAUUAAGAAAUUAAAAAAUAAAAAGUUUACUUUUUCCAUCAAACAAUAACUUUGUUAAUUGUGUAGGUUUUUUUUUUCAAAAAAAAAAAAAAAAAAAAAACAAAAAAACAAAACUUUUUUUCUCAGUGUAAUUUGAAAAUAUAAAAAAACUUUGAGUUUUUUCUCUUUAACUCUAUAGAAAUCUUAAGUUUAAGAAAAAAUUUCCUAGUAAACUUCAUUUAAACUUUCGUGUUUUUUCAAAUUCUCUACAGCAGACAAUUACGUUCUCAAAAUAUAUUUAUUUUCCAAUAAUAACAACAACAACAAAAAGGAGAAAAGAACGAAUUUAAUAAAAAACUAAAAUAAAACAAAAACUCAUACAAAUAAAACUUGAAAACAACAAAACUAUUAAACUCAAACUAGCAAAUAUACAGUAUUGAACAGAAGUAAAACAACACUAUUUAAAAUAAAACCCUAAAUAAACUAUAUAUGAAAAAAAGUUGUGGUCUGAUAAACUAAAGAGUGAAUAUUUUUUAAGAACUAAAUGCAAAACUAAAAAACAAAAAAAUAAAUUUCAAAAAAAAUUAUUUUGAAAAAAAAAGAUAAGCAAUUUUUUCAUAAAUGGUGUGCAUUUUUUAUAAAAAAUAAAUAGAAAAUAAAAUUUUAGUGUGUAAAAACAAAACAACUACUUUUUAUAAAACUUAAAAAUUAAAUAAGUGUUUUAUACCUAAAUAUACAAAAAAUAUAAAACUAAGGUUAUUGAUUAGAGAACAACUAAAGGAAGCAAACAUUUAGAGACGACACCAAAAUAUUAAACUAGAUAAAAAAGGACUUCCAACGAUUUUAGCAAAAGACGACGAAAAUUUAUAUUAAAAUAAAAAUAAUCUUUUUUUAAAGAUUUCCCUUGCUAUACAUUAAAAUUAAAUACACUUUCAACGGUUAACACAUAAAAGGCCAAAUUUAUAAUUGUAAAA